rnacentral:miRNA from 1 species
CAGGCGUGUGUGUGUGUGUGUGUGUGUGUGUGCGCGCGUGCACGCGCACGCACAUUUACA